rnacentral:rRNA from 1 species
GGUUAAGCGACUAAGCGUACACGGUGGAUGCCUAGGCAGUCAGAGGCGAUGAAGGGCGUGCUAAUCUGCGAAAAGCGUCGGUAAGGUGAUAUGAACCGUUAUAACCGACGAUACCCGAAUGGGGAAACCCAGUGCAAUUCGUUGCACUAUUGCAUGGUGAAUACAUAGCCAUGCAAGGCGAACCGGGGGAACUGAAACAUCUAAGUACCCCGAGGAAAAGAAAUCAACCGAGAUUCCCCCAGUAGCGGCGAGCGAACGGGGAGGAGCCCAGAACCUGAAUCAGCGUAUGUGUUAGUGGAAGCGUCUGGAAAGUCGCACGGUACAGGGUGAUAGUCCCGUACACAAAAAUGCAUAUGUUGUGAGUUCGAUGAGUAGGGCGGGACACGUGACAUCCUGUCUGAAUAUGGGGGGACCAUCCUCCAAGGCUAAAUACUCCUGACUGACCGAUAGUGAACCAGUACCGUGAGGGAAAGGCGAAAAGAACCCCGGCGAGGGGAGUGAAACAGAACCUGAAACCGUGUACGUACAAGCAGUGGGAGCACCUUCGUGGUGUGACUGCGUACCUUUUGUAUAAUGGGUCAGCGACUUAUAUUUUGUAGCAAGGUUAACCGAAUAGGGGAGCCGUAGGGAAACCGAGUCUUAACUGGGCGUCUAGUUGCAAGGUAUAGACCCGAAACCCGGUGAUCUAGCCAUGGGCAGGUUGAAGGUUGGGUAACACUAACUGGAGGACCGAACCGACUAAUGUUGAAAAAUUAGCGGAUGACUUGUGGCUGGGGGUGAAAGGCCAAUCAAACCGGGAGAUAGCUGGUUCUCCCCGAAAGCUAUUUAGGUAGCGCCUCGUGAACUCAUCUUCGGGGGUAGAGCACUGUUUCGGCUAGGGGGUCAUCCCGACUUACCAAACCGAUGCAAACUCCGAAUACCGAAGAAUGUUAUCACGGGAGACACACGGCGGGUGCUAACGUCCGUCGUGAAGAGGGAAACAACCCAGACCGCCAGCUAAGGUCCCAAAGUCAUGGUUAAGUGGGAAACGAUGUGGGAAGGCACAGACAGCCAGGAUGUUGGCUUAGAAGCAGCCAUCAUUUAAAGAAAGCGUAAUAGCUCACUGGUCGAGUCGGCCUGCGCGGAAGAUGUAACGGGGCUAAACCAUGCACCGAAGCUGCGGCAGCGAACGUAUCACUUAAAACGCUUAACGUGACGGCAAAGCCGGCAUGUUCAAGCCACAUUAAACGUUGAGUUGGCCGAUGUGCUGACAAACGAACAGGCGUUUUAAGGAUACGUUCGUUGGGUAGGGGAGCGUUCUGUAAGCCGUUGAAGGUGGCCUGUGAGGGCUGCUGGAGGUAUCAGAAGUGCGAAUGCUGACAUAAGUAACGAUAAUGCGGGUGAAAAACCCGCACGCCGGAAGACCAAGGGUUCCUGUCCAACGUUAAUCGGGGCAGGGUGAGUCGACCCCUAAGGCGAGGCUGAAAAGCGUAGUCGAUGGGAAACAGGUUAAUAUUCCUGUACUUGGUGUUACUGCGAAGGGGGGACGGAGAAGGCUAGGCUAGCCGGGCGACGGUUGUCCCGGUUUAAGCAUGUAGGCGGAGUGACCAGGUAAAUCCGGUUGCUUAUCAACGCUGAGGUGUGAUGACGAUGCACUACGGUGCAGAAGUAGUUGAUGCCAUGCUUCCAGGAAAAGCCUCUAAGCAUCAGGUAACACGAAAUCGUACCCCAAACCGACACAGGUGGUCAGGUAGAGAAUACUCAGGCGCUUGAGAGAACUCGGGUGAAGGAACUAGGCAAAAUGGUGCCGUAACUUCGGGAGAAGGCACGCUGGCGCUAGGUGAAGAGACUUGCUCUCGGAGCUGAAGCCAGUCGCAGAUACCAGCUGGCUGCAACUGUUUAAUAAAAACACAGCACUGUGCAAACACGAAAGUGGACGUAUACGGUGUGACGCCUGCCCGGUGCUGGAAGGUUAAUUGAUGGGGUCAGCCGCAAGGCGAAGCUCUUGAUCGAAGCCCCAGUAAACGGCGGCCGUAACUAUAACGGUCCUAAGGUAGCGAAAUUCCUUGUCGGGUAAGUUCCGACCUGCACGAAUGGCGUAAUGAUGGCCAGGCUGUCUCCACCCGAGACUCAGUGAAAUUGAACUCGCUGUGAAGAUGCAGUGUACCCGCGGCAAGACGGAAAGACCCCGUGAACCUUUACUAUAGCUUGACACUGAACAUUGAGCCUUGAUGUGUAGGAUAGGUGGGAGGCAUGGAAGUGUGGACGCCAGUCUGCAUGGAGCCAACCUUGAAAUACCACCCUUUAAUGUUUGAUGUUCUAACUCGGCCCCGUAAUCCGGGGUGAGGACAGUGUCUGGUGGGUAGUUUGACUGGGGCGGUCUCCUCCCAAAGAGUAACGGAGGAGCACGAAGGUUAGCUAAUCACGGUCGGACAUCGUGAGGUUAGUGCAAAGGCAUAAGCUAGCUUGACUGCGAGAGUGACGGCUCGAGCAGGUACGAAAGUAGGUCUUAGUGAUCCGGUGGUUCUGAAUGGAAGGGCCAUCGCUCAACGGAUAAAAGGUACUCCGGGGAUAACAGGCUGAUACCGCCCAAGAGUUCAUAUCGACGGCGGUGUUUGGCACCUCGAUGUCGGCUCAUCACAUCCUGGGGCUGAAGUAGGUCCCAAGGGUAUGGCUGUUCGCCAUUUAAAGUGGUACGCGAGCUGGGUUUAGAACGUCGUGAGACAGUUCGGUCCCUAUCUGCCGUGGGCGUUGGAAGAUUGAGAGGGGCUGCUCCUAGUACGAGAGGACCGGAGUGGACGAAUCACUGGUGUUCGGGUUGUCAUGCCAAUGGCAUUGCCCGGUAGCUAAAUUCGGAAGAGAUAACCGCUGAAAGCAUCUAAGCGGGAAACUUGCCUCGAGAUGAGUCUUCCCUGGGGCUUCAAGCCCCCUGAAGGAACGUUAAAGACGAUGACGUUGAUAGGCUGGGUGUGUAAGUGCAGCGAUGCAUUGAGCUAACCAGUACUAAUGAACCGUGAGGCUUAACCUU